CCCCUCUCAGAAGAGCACCUGGAGAGUUUCCAGUACUCUACCAGUCUCAGCUGUGGGAGGGCGACUCAAGCAGAGGUAUACCCAUUCCAUUCCUAGUUUGGGAAGUGGCUAGCGAGUGGAAGGCAAUCUGCUACAAGU